rnacentral:lncRNA from 1 species
GUUGAAAAUUUAAAGUUCAAUUUCCAAAAUUUUUGGAAAUGUAAGUUUGAUUGCAUUAUUAGGAAAUCAAGGUGUAUAGAAUCGGACGUUGAGUCCUUAUGUUGAAAAGCGGACUUGUCCAAGGACUGUGUUUGUGUCUAUCGAAAAAGGUAAUUUGGAAACAGGCCCGCUAUUCAUAUAAGUUAACUUCGAUACAAGUCUUGCAUACUUUAACAUACGUUAAUUUUGAAGGUCUUUCCUCUACGGGAGGAAAGACCUUAUUGUUUUUCUAAUGUUUUAUUUUUUUUCUUCAUUUUUUUUUUGGCAUGCCCUUCCCCCGUUUCUGUAGAAGUUAUUAAGAACAAAUAUGGACCAUUUAUAGACCUCAUCAUAAACUUUUACAAGAUGAACUUUUGUAGGAUUUCAUCAUCCCCUUUAGAAGUUAUCUCCCUUUUAUUGAUUUUUUUCAAGAUAGCCCCCUCGUUGUUUUUAAAGAUAUCAUGACCUUAUUUGAACAAUAGGUAGAUCUCAUCAUGAUG